GAAAUGCGAUAAGUAAUGUGAAUUGCAGAAUUCAGUGAAUCAUCGAAUCUUUGAACGCACAUUGCGCCCGCCAGCAUUCUGGCGGGCAUGCCUGUUCGAGCGUCAUUUCAACCCUCGAGCCCCCCCGGGGGCCUCGGUGUUGGGGGACGGCACACCAGCCGCCCCCGAAAUGCAGUGGCGACCCCUCCGCAGCCUCCCCUGCGUAGUAGCACACACCUCGCACCGGAGCGCGGAGGCGGUCACGCCGUAAAACGCCCAACUUUCUUAGAGUUGACCUCGGAUCAGGUAGGAAUACCCGCUGAACUUAAGC
rnacentral:misc_RNA from 1 species